UGCGUAGGCGGAAUAUUAAGUCAGUGGUGAAAUCCUGCGGCUCAACCGUAGAACUGCCAUUGAUACUGAUAUUCUUGAAUGUAGUUGAGGUAGGCGGAAUGUGUAAUGUAGCGGUGAAAUGCUUAGAUAUUACACAGAACACCGAUUGCGAAGGCAGCUUACUAAACUAUGAUUGACGCUGAGGCACGAAAGCGUGGGGAGCGAACAGGAUUAGAUACCCGCGUAGUCC
rnacentral:rRNA from 1 species